UAAAAAGAUAUAAAGAGCAUCAUAUCAUAGCAAUACAAGAAAGAUGCAACGCCAGUGGAUAGCGGCAAGAGACCUUACAAUUACAUGGGUGAACAAUCCUCAGUUCUGGACAUGGAAAACUGUUGAUCCUAAUAUUGAAGUGGCGGAGCUUCGUAGCGUAAAUUGGCUUGACAUUUAU